GGCUCACUAGCUCAGACGGUUAGUGCGUCCCGUUAACGACGCCAAGGUCUUGGGUUUGAUCCCCACGUUGGUCA